UUUUUCCAUGAAAAAGUUUGCAAACUUAGCAAUCUUGUUUUGGAAAUUAAAAACACUUAGGGGACAAUAUGUCCACGUGGGUCCCAUGUGGGGAAAGAUCAUCUUUUUGUGUAAUUAUAAGUAUAGAUAAAUGUGGCUUUUGAGGCUGUCAACGUAGAGUGACCUUGUUAAAUUAUAAUAGUGACUUCAAAUGAGUAGCUAGUGAAGUGGUAGGAGUCCACAUGUUUUUUUUUAAAGUGGGCUGCAAGCUUGCAAAUGUAUAUACAUUCAUGUUGUGUCUUGGUGUCAAAUGGAUGAUGACUAUUUAAAAGAGUUGGCCAGCCAUGGUCCACGUGUAAAAGGGCAAAAUAGUGAUGACUUUGUGUCAUUUUUUUAUAUACAUAAUGGAAGGGAGGGGUCCUUUGGAUUUUCAUUACAAAUGAAACCAUUUAUUUCUUGAAGAAAAACAAGGCCAACAGCAGCAACGAACAAGCAGCCAUGGACGUGCUUGUUGCUGCCAAGGAAAAACUUGCCCCAUAUAAAUUAAUUAGUAGUUCAUUAAGAGAUCAAGAACACCUAUGUUUAGGGAGGUUGAGAGAAACAUUCACACUUCAUUUUGAGAAAGGAAUUGGGCAGCAACGUUCAAGUAAUUAUGGUGAAGCUUUUGCUUCAAUUGAGAAUUGGAGGGAGCAAGUUCAAGCCAACUAAAGCUUAGAUAAUUUGGGAUUGAUGGUGACAACGAACUUCUUUCUUACAAGAACAUAUGCAGCAACUUGUUUUAAUUUUAAGACCUACGAGCUCGAGAAGUAGACGUUAGACAUUUAGAUAGAGUUCAAGGUAUGUAAAGCUAACCCUUCCUUCUUUUUGGCAUGAUCUUUAUGAAACAAACAGACGACGUAUAUAUAUGACUCCAAAGAAGCUCCUAUUCUUAGAGCCACUAGAAUGACUAAUGUUCUUGAUUUCCAGAAGCUAUUUCAUUAUGUCUUAAUACAUGCGUAUGAUUCCAGCCGUCAUAUUUUGGUAUAAUUCAUAUUUUGGUAUAAUUCAUAUUCAUUCGAAGGAUACUUGAUAUGACUAUUGUCUUGAUUUCCAAAUGAUAGUUCGUUUGAAUAUUCUAUUGAGUCUCAAAUAUAAUUUAGUUUGCAUAUGGUUGCUCACUAAACUGCUCGUGCAUGCCUCAAUAUAUCUUUCACCGAGUUCCGGGCCGGGUAUGUAUUCGUGCACAGUUCACUGCAUUGCUCACCGAGUCCCUCACUAGAGGGCCGGGUACGGUAUAUGUAUAUGAUGAUAUGAUAAUAUGAUGAUAUGAUGAUGAUGAUGAUGUGAUGAUGCGCCGAGCCUCAUGAAGGGCCGAAUAUGAUGAAUUCACCGAGUCCCAUAAUGGGCCGGGUAUGGUAUAUGAUAUUGAUAUGCAUGAUUUUUUAUUUCAUAAGGCACCUUUAAUUUUUAUUCAGCCAUAAUCAUCUUUAUUGUACUUCAUGCUUUAUAUACUCAGUACAUAUCUCGUACUGACCCCCUUUCUUCGGGAGGCUGCGUUUCAUGCCCGCAGGUAUAGACACUCGAUUUUGUGACCUUCCAGAUUAGGACUUCUGCUCAGCUGUUUGGAGAGCUCUAUUGUUCCGGAGCCUAAGUUAUUUUGGUAUUGAUCUUUUGAUAUGGACUUAUGUAUGUAUAUCCAGGGGUACGGCGGGGCCCUGUCCCGUCAUGUUUCACUAUGGUACUCUUAGAGGUUUGUAGACAUAUGUGGGUUGUACAUGGGUUAUGGUCAGCUGCGUAUAUAUGGCUUAGGUAUGGUAUUGAUAUGUUGUGGAAGCCUUGUCGGCUUGCGUAUGGUAUUGAUAUGUAGAGGCAUCUUUGUCGGCUUGCGUAUCGUAUUAUGCUUUGAUCAGCUGUGACUCCUCAGGAGGCAGGUUUAUGAUAUAUGGUGUUAUGAAUCUUUCGGUUGCUUUUACAA